AGUGGCGUACGGCUUUCCAGAGAAGGAGGUACACGCAGGGAAGAUACCGUUCAUUCUACCAGGCUGUACCGUUCACACGGACAGCAGAGCCGUUGGCCGCAGAGCGCAGCCUCACUUCUCACGCUUCUGUCCCUGUACUCCUAAGGUAGGGGUGCAGCAGUACCCACUUCAGUGGGGUUGUAAAGAUUGAGCAAUACAUGUGAAGUGCUUGGAACAGGGAUCAGGCUGUUUUCUACCACCCUUGAGCUAAGGAUUUCUUUUUUGUUAAUUGUUUUAAAUGAUUGCAUUUGAAAUGGUUAUAGAAGCGCCGAACAUCUUCAGUUUUGCCUCUUGGUGCAUAAAGCCCCAAAUGUUUACCAUCUGACAGCCCAGGGGAAUGUUUGCUGGCUCCUGGCACAGAGUAGCACGAACACGUGGCGAGUGCUUCUGAAGGACACACAGCUGUAUUUGCUGCACACUGUGCCACACCAGAGUCUACUCUCCUGUGCUCUGACGGGCUGCUGAAGCCGGGGAGCCGCAGCCCUGCACAUCUUCCUUCAGGCUUCUCCAGAGGCCCGGGAGCGCCCCAUUCCCAACCUUUCCAGAGGUGCUUCAGUAAGACGGUUUAAGGGGGGAUUCACAUGAGGUUGGCGCCCAGGCCCUGAGAUGCUGCUGUCCCCGGAGGUCCCUUAUCUAUUAAUCAUUAGCUCAGUGGUCUCUGGCCUCUGUGUCUCUUGUUCCUGACCGUCCACUAGGAAGCAGGGCUCACAGCUGUACCCAGCAGUAUUUAGGUUUUGUUCCUCAGGAUAAAAGGCCUCCUUGGUUCUUUUACCUGAUUCAUUUCAGGGUGAAGAAUAGCUCUAAAAUAAUUUUAGUCAAUUCACAUUUGAAAGGUUCAUCAAGAGAAUCAGUGUCUAAAGUUCCGCAUGCUGUUACAUGAGGUAUUAACAGGUCACUUGAUAGUUAAUAGAACAACUAUAGAAAUCCAUUUCGGAUGCCAUGUAUGAAAAUCAGCAGUGUGUGAGCCGUAGAUCAGGAAUGAUACAGAGGAAAUCCCGGGCGGCCCCGCCGUGGACGGCAGCUUUUGUGAAGGGAACACUGGCGUGGCAGGCCGGACCGGCACCUGGGUCACGUCUCCUUUAGCUUGGUCACGUUGCAUGUGCUGAAGUGUUUAAAUUAUAGACAUCGAAAAUUACCUAUUUAGAACAUAUGUGCCCUGUAUCUUUUGUGUAUAAACGUGUUAGCUUCUGGAUUUCUGCUAAUUCUAUGUUCAGUUGCUAUAUUUAUUAAUUCAUAACAUUUUCUUUUUACCUAAAAAAAAACAAUCAGAAAGGUGAGUAGUCUUUAGGAAGGUUGACUAAUGAUUCUGUAUUUAAAAAUCAAUAGCUAUUAAAGUGCACUGCUCUAAACCGGGGACACAGUAUUUUUUUAAGAAGGUGGUAUGUUCUCCUCUGAAGGGAAUCUGAGAAUCUGUCAAUAUUUCCAAGUUCGCGUCAUAUACAGGAGUGUGUGUGUGUUGAAGGAAGAAAGACAACAGACAAAUAUAUCCUCUAAAAUGAAGACAAGUUCCUUUCUGGAGCCAGGGAGGAGUGCUCUGGGGAAGAAGGAGAGGAGGGGACUACCUGGUGUAAAACCGGCUAAUAUUUUUUAAUGAAUGGGGAUGUGUUAGACAAGUUUUGUGCACGCGUUAGAGGUGGAGAUAUGAGGAACCGAGGCCAGGUUUUCAUGUGUGUCUUCGCCAGGCUUCAUCCUGAUGAUAGCCCAGAACCUUGCCUGGUGCUCUUUUUCCCUGCCUGGUCUCUGGAACACAGCCCAGCCAUUCAAAGUGCAUUGGAGAAGCUCAACAGUACAAAUAUCUAUCAGCAGUAGAGUGAUAGAUUAAUUAAGGCAUAUUCAUACAACAAUAAAAAAAUGAGCUGCUGUUAUACUCAACUGAAUUGCGCAAAUUGAGGUGUGAAAUACACCCCGAUUCCAUUUUUAUGAAGUUCAAGAGUAGGCAAGAUUAAUCUAUGGCAACAAGUUGGAAGAACUGGCGAACUCUGGGGAGUAUUGACUCAGGAGGGAUACUCUUUCUGAGCUGUUAGAGAUGCUCUCUGUUGUGAUCUGGAUGGUGGUUACGUUUAUGUGUAUUUGCACAUACAUGUAAAUAUAUUUAUUGAUAUAGUUAAGAUGUGUGCACUUUACAAAUUUUAUAUUUCAAUAAGAAAAACUUAAAAUAUAUUGUCUGUGUUGAUCUAGGGGUGUGGGGGAAGAGCUACUGAGAAUGAUACAUACAGAGAAAGGAUAUAUUCCUGGUGAAAUAGUGGGUGAGUUGCAAAGUUAUGAUGUUUCAAAUCAAAGGAAGGUAUUAGAAAUGAAUUCAUUCCAAAAUGACUGCUGGAGAUGAACUGAGCAUUGUCAACAGGCCAAGGACUUUCCUUUUAAAGGCAGGAGAAGGUAAGUUAAUUAUGAAUAACUUCAGCAAGAUCACAGCUUGAUUUGUUGUUCCACAGAUAAGCAAUAAUGUGAACAUUGAUUAAGUAGAAUGUAAGCAAAAGUUCACCUACAACCUUAGGUAUUAUUGCUUAAGAGUCUAGGGUUGAAUUAGGAGGCUGAGAAUAAAAUGUAUUUUUUGGCAAACAUAAGGCCAAAUGAUUUUAUGUGUGGUGUUUAGAGGAUUUGUUUUUAUAAAGACACUCCCAGAGAAUAUUUAGAAGCUUAUGGUGUACUGAAUUGGAGGAUAUUUCAAAUCUAAGUGUCAGCAAGAGUCGGCAUGAAGGCCAAGAAUCACAGUCUUAGCUGGUUUCCUCAAUUAGCAGUUUGGUUAGAAGGAGAGACAUUUAGAACAUUCUCUUCCUUCUUUAGAGAAUUGUUGGCAUUCACUGGGGAGUGAGACACUUGUUGAAGUCAGUCACAAAUAAUCUAGGCAAGAUUUUAUUUUGUCUAACUUUUUUUCCAGAAAUACCAAUUGUUUAGACUCUUUAACAUGAGAGGGGCCGUAGUUCGUGGGGUCUAGAACAAAAUGAAAAUGCAAAGCCUCUUGUUCAAAUACUAACAAUUUCAAGAUGGAAACAACAGAGCAUUAAAAUAAGUGUGGGGCUCUUCUAAACACGGGCCUUUUGAAGGUGCAUAGGUCACGUGCUCACGGAGUAACUGUCCCUUAACAUUUGGGGGCCUCUGUGGCCACCAGGACCUGUCGCACUCUGCAGGCUCAUCACCACCUCCUCCCGUGGCGCCAGCUGGCCCACGUGGCUCGCCAUUCCCACAACGGUUCGUGUUGGUGCCUGCGUCCGUGGUUUUAUGCAUAUAGUUCAUGUUCUUCCCAGAAUUUUCUUCAUCAUCUCAUAGGUACGUUCUAUUCAUUUUGUCUGUUUGUCUGUCUUUUUGUCUGUUAAUUCCCCUAAGAGUAUUAUCCAUUCCUUUCUUGAACCAUCUCUGAUCUUGUGAAAUCUCUAUUAAUAUACUUCAUAUGUUUUGCACUUUUUGUUUACUUAUUUGCUAAAAUGCAAUCUUAUUACAGUAAGCAAUUGUGUUUUAUUUGUGUCAUGGAAUUGCACAAAGUGAAUAUUUAAUAAAUAUUUUUUGUAAAUGGACAAAAUAAAUUCUACAGAGCAAAAUAGAGUAAGUUCAGCUACAUUUACAAUAAAUACAAUUGCUGUGUUCCCACCUAAUGGGCACAGUGGCAGGGUGUGUGGCACGCCUCCUGGGUGCGGGCACAGCUACCGCAGGACCUCAGCUAACAAACAGGAGCCUGGAACCUAAUCGUUUGUACUCUCAUAUUAAUAUGAAAUAAAAAAAAUGACUGUGGAAAAAAUAAAGCAAUUGUUUUCUAUUGAAAUAAUGUGUGGCGUUCUUAAAAAAUACGAAAAAAUAAGAACAGUCUCAGUCUUUCUGGCUUUUCUUAUUCCCCAUUUAAUUAAACUUUAAAAAUUUUGAUAUUCUCAUUGGUAAAAUAAGUUGGCCUCAUUCCUUUGCUGUGGUUUAAUCUGAUCCAUUUUUACUUUCACAGUUUUGUCUUUCAGUGUGAAGAUUAGUAAGUCCACUUCACAUAAAUAUGACAACGAGGGAGGUUUGGGGGGUGAGUAUGGGAGUAAACUUUUCCCAAAGAGAUUAUUAUACCUUGAGUGAGUAAAUGAACUGAUGCCUGAACACUUCUGGUAGCUGGACUCGUCAUAACAGCUUCACUUAAUUUUUUAUGUGCAGAAUAGGUUUUUAUUGUUAUUUCCAUAUGCCACGCCAAAUUCUUUCUGGUUCCUUCACAAUAAUUUCCACCAACUGCUGGAAAGUUAACAGGUAUGAGCUGAAAUAUAAACUGCAGUUUCAUGCCACCUUUUUACUCAGUGAGACAUUACUUUCCAGCCCCAUGGGUCAAGAUCAUGAAUCAUUUUAUUUCCUUUUUUUUUUUUUUCUUCAGGAAAAGCAAUUCAUCUGAGAGGCUGACUUACUCUGGGUACUAUAAAAAGCUCUGCUUAAUAGCACCAAAGUGAAGAAAGGAGGAGACACCCUUAGCUGGGGAAAGGGUAGACUGAGGAUAUUUCUGGCCCUUGACCAUAGUCUGGAAGAAAACAGAGGAACAGGAGCAAGUGGAAAUAUGGGAGGAAUAAGCUUCAUCCAGACGGCGGGGAGCUGGAGCGGGGACUGCGGGGAGCACAGUCCUCACAGACUGUCCUAGUUACCAGGCACCCACCCUCCCAGAAGACCUGCUGGAGCCUAGGUCCCAAGAAAAUAAAUGAACAGGAAGACGAGGAGAGACCCCACCUCUAAUUCUACUCACCUUAGGUUAUCCUGGACGUUAGAUGAGUUUGGGAGCAAAC